rnacentral:rRNA from 1 species
UACGUAGGGUGCAAGCGUUACUCGGAAUUACUGGGCGUAAAGCGUGCGCAGGCGGCUUUGCAAGACAGAUGUGAAAUCCCCGGGCUUAACCUGGGAACUGCAUUUGUGACUGCAUGGCUGGAGUGCGGCAGAGGGGGAUGGAAUUCCGCGUGUAGCAGUGAAAUGCGUAGAUAUGCGGAGGAACACCGAUGGCGAAGGCAGCCCCCUGGGUCGACACUGACGCUCAGGCACGAAAGCGUGGGGAGCAAACAGG